ACGACGGACAUUCUCGAGAUCGAUAUAGUCCUGUUUCACUAUGUCUCUUUUGAAUGGUGGUACGGGGCUAGGGAAUAUAUCCCUUCAAAGGAUCAAAAGUUAAGCAGGUUCAGUAAGAGGAUAUAAUCGAUUGCGUUCGGAAAGGCCCUUCAAAGGGAGGUUUGACGGUUCAUGCGGAUCGUGAGUCAAAGUGGAAUUUUUGCUCUAAUGAGGGUAUAUUUUCUCGUAAAAAAGAAGAUUUCAUCAGGGAAUCUUUUUGAGUUACAUCUUGCUCCUCAGAAGGAUUUAACGCAGUCGAAAAAAGAAAAUGAAGAUCGAUCAUACCGUUAACAGUGUUGUUGGAUAUCGAACUAAUGUUAAUUUGGGUAGCAAUUAGAAAAUUAUAGAUACCAUAAUAACAUUUAUUCCAAUGCCAUGUGUGAGAUUAGGAAUGGCAAGGAAAAUAUUCGAGCGAUUAACGAUAAUUCUAAAAAGGAAGUUCGGCGAAUCAAUGUUGGAAAGAAGAGGAAGAGAAAAGUGAUGGAGGAGAUGAAGAAGUCGAAGAUGGGGAUGAAGAGCAUGAGUCCACCCUCGUCUACAAAAUCGAGAUGAUACUAAGAACCAUAUACGCGUCGCUGAUUUAAUUAUUCCGUUCGAACGAAUACAUUUUCCUAGAAAUUUGCUCCUGAUAGAAGAACUGAGAACAAUGAUCCAUAAUACCUCUAGUUAUCUAACAUUUCAUAUAUUAUGUUCAAAAUUAAUCAAUUCCUAGGAAGAUAUUUUAUUUGUCAAUUUUUAUUUGAGAACUGUUUAUUUUUAUUACGUAUAACCGAGCACAGCGAUUUUUCUCUGAAUAGGCGCACAUAGAAUCUAACACUUUUAUAAUUUUCCUGCAACUUCCUAAAGAUCUAUUGUUCUUCUUUCGUCGUUAUUCGGUCAAUAGAUUUCAAUUCGGUCAAUGUCAACAUUCUCUUCGCACAAAAUAAAUAAAUAUGAAUAAUUAAAUGCCAAAAAAAUUUUCCUCCUCGGGAAGUAGAUAAACGCAAUUCGAUUUUUACAUAGUGAAUGACAUGUGGAAUCAAAUGGGGAAAAAAGAAUCAAAAAGAAAAAAAAGAAAUAAAAGCAAAAAGGAAAUUUCCCGUAAACGGUAAUAUCGAUCCAAAAUUAUUGCUAACAAUAUGAAGAGAUAAUCGUGGAUAUUAGCUUCGUGAAUAUAUAGAAAAGAGAGGGUUAAACGAAACAGCGCAUGCUCGAGUCGAUAUAAGAGAUGUUGCUAGCCACCCGCGGAAGUUGAAUAAACCGUUUAUUCCGUUUCGAAUCGUGCUACCAGCAAGUUCCUGCGAGUGUCCAAAUAAUAUUCCAAACAGAAACGAUUCAGAAUAAUAUAUAAGCUCCUGACCAGUGAAAAUAGUGGAUAGUAUCUAGAAGAUUCUGCAGAACACACUAUCGAUAGUUGUAAAAGUUCUGAUUAUCAAUGGAAGCACAAUUAUAUUCCCUAUUACUUAUCGAAAGACGAAUCAGAUAUAUUCAUUGUUAUAUUUAUAUAUUGGCCUAUGUUACAAUGUAUAUACAUUUUUGUGUAUAUUUAAUUUGUAACAUCCUACAUAUCUUAAAUAUGAUGUAAGUUGAAAAAUAUGAGUUUAUAUUACUGACGUUAUGUUAUGCCCUAUUUUAUACAAGUUCAUAUCCAAUACUACGAUAAUAUGUUUUAUAGUAGAUUAUAGAAAAUUGCGUAGUUUCUUAUUAUUUUUUCAUGCUAUGGUUAACUUAUUUUUAUUAUUAUUAGAUACUAUAUUUUACGUGUGAUUUAUCUUUUACUUGUUGCAUAAUUUUGAAUUAUUGUGUAAUAUUAAACCGAGCAGAAAGCCUAAUUAGGGGUUAUCGGAAUUAGGAUAUUUCUUUUUAGACAUUUAUACGAUCCAAUCGUAUAAUGGUAUAUAGAGCCAACUGUUGCGCAUCUGUUUGUUAUUCCGUGAUAUUAUUCCGUAUUUGCUAUCUCAAUGAUACUACCUGUUGAAGAGUCUAACAAACUAGGUGAAUUGCUUGUCUGAAACUAGUAAUUGCUUGUUUGCGGGUCAGCUAAUCAAUUAGAAUAGAGAUGCAUGAUUCCAUGAUAAGCAUACAAAGAGACGAACGUAGAGACGACUUGUCUUCCGGAGACACAUAUCCGCAACCGAACCGAUUUCAUUUGCUUUUGCGAUGAAACCUAUUAGUUUUCGUUUUCAAUUAUUAUACCAUCCGUUUGUGUUAAUCUAAAGUUCAUUUCAGAAUGUUUUAAGGAGAUUCUCACAUUUUUUCUGAUAAAAAUAAAAUUUUGAAAAUGGACUCAAAUUUUUGCAUAAAUAAUUUGGACGCUGAUUAGGUAUAUUAAAAGAUUAAUUGAAUAUUUUUUAUAUUUUCGGAAGACUGAAGUAUGUUUAACAAAAAAAGAUAUUUGAGGCAUCAAAAUUUUUUCAGGAUCAAUAUUUAUUAAUGUCAAUAUGAAAAUCAUUCCAUUGUAAUAGUUCCAAUAGAACUAUUCGGAAGGAGUAAAUUAAAAAUAUUUGAAUGUUCAUAUAUGUGAUAUAUACUAUUGAUAUUAUCGUUAUUGACAUCAGUAUUCAUAUAAUGGAGCUUCUCGGAAAAAUUAGUAAGACAGAUCUAUCGAAAUAAUUAUAUCCAUCUUCGUUUAUAUCAGUAUAUGUACGAUCGAAUCGACGGAGGAAAUAUAGAAAUUUGUAUAAAGAGAAAUAGAAGGAAAAAGAUUUUUGAUGCGGUGUUACCACAGAUUGCUGAAAGUUGAUAUUCCAUAUGCAAGUCGAAAAGAGUCAAUUGCAGAACAGAAGGAAAUUAUUAAAGAAAAAUUUUAAUGGCUACUGUAUACAUCCAUUCCUGGCAAAAUGCUGCGGCAGCGAAAGAACUUCGAUGUUUAUUCGUCGGAGUACAAAGAACUGAUCUGGUAACUCCAAAUCUAAAAGUCCAAGUCAAUCAUUUGUUGAUUUUACACGCUACCAACAACUGCCAUUUUUAAAUUUAAGUCUAAUAGAAAAUAAAUUAAAAUUGUCUGAUAUACCGUCUGUGUUCCAUAGCAGGUAAUGUUUAGCGAAAUCUACUAUUGCUUAAACAGUGAAUAGUUUAACUCGUCGUUCAUUUAUAUCGUUUAAAUGAGUUUAAAAUUAGCAAAAGUUUGAAGUUUGACGUUUUCACCUUUAAAAAGUGAGGCGAAGCGUCAGUCAUUCCAAUGUUCGUUUUUAUUGACAUCACACGCAGCUACGAAACUCAGAUGCAAGUAUUCCAAUAUGAACAUCAUAAAUUAUUUAAAUUUUAGCUUAAAAUUAUUUUAUGUUAUUCGCGCGUUACGAUCUUCGUAAUGUUUAAGCGAAUAUACUAUCGUUUAAAUAUUACGAUUAUGAAAAUAAUUCAUUUGUCGAUUCUAUUAUAUCUAAAACAUUAACUUGAAAUAUUAUAAUUAUUACUAUAAUAAUAAUAAUAUUCAGUUUAUCAAAAAUCAAGCAAAAGCAUAUCAAUUCUUCGUUCUUUAGGUAAAAAGAUGAAAAGCACAGAAUGAUUUCUAUUUUGAUAUUUUUCCGUAUUUACCCUUUAUACUCGGCGUCCUUUCGAACAUUUGGCAGCAGCAACAGGGCGGUAUUAACGUCGCACAAAGUGGUAUAUAGUGUAACAUAUUACAUACUUCCACUUUGAUAGCAAGGAAUAUAUUACAGUGAUAUUUCAUUUACAUUAUAUUUAAUUAUAUUGUAGUAAUAUAGCAAAUAUAUUAUAUGAAUUUAUUGACAAAUAUUGACAAAAUUUCAAUGGAAUCCUCAUUUUAUUCUAGAUAAUUUUCUACGAUAUUUAUGACAAUUUUUCUCUCAAUUCUUGUACACCAUUUUCAUUGCUAUCAUUAUCUAUGAAAUUUCCUUAUUUUUCUAAUGAACUUUCCAAGAGGACAUCCGAGUGCAAAGGGUUAAAAAGAAAAAUAAUUGUUACAAAGUAGCCUGAAAAAAAAGCAAACAAAUAUGUAUUGAGAAAGUAUUACAAUUUCAUAUUCUCUAUGUUUGCGGUAUAUGUAAACUGGAUUUUUGAUUUAUAUUUACUUUUCUCUUAAUUUUUCAGAAAUUCUCUUAAGAAUUUAUUAUUCCUGCUCGGAAGAAAGAUAAAUAAGCAUAAACUUUCAUUUGUUGAAUGAAUUCUGAAUACAUAUUUAUUUGCUUUUUUCUUUUGUUCUUUUUUUUUUUAAUUAAAAUUUCUUUCGUUAAUUUAUUUUAUGGUUUAAUUUUCUUUUUAAUCAUAAAUUGAUUUAUGUACAUAGAGAUGCACACUCCGAGAUAAAUAGUUUAUCAUAAAAUAUUAAAUAUUUAUGUUGACAAUUAUAUAAAUAUGUAGGUAUAUAAAUGUGAUUAAAUGUUAUACUAUUAUGUUAUGUUUGUGUGUGUGUAUGUGUGUAUGUUUAAACACACAUCCACAUAAAAUCUGUAUAUAAGAAUAAGUGUUACACGAAAUUAUUGCUAAUGUAAGUUUUAACAGUAUGUAAUAAACUUAAAAGCAACUACAAAAAUAGUUCUAUGUCCCUUUAUCAUUAAUUAUGUUUUAGGCAACUGACUCUUGAAAAUAAAUUAUCCUUGACUAAUGCAUUCAGAUUGAUAGGUCGAAACAAAAAAAAAUACUAAUAUG